UACGUAGGGUGCGAGCGUUAUCCGGAAUUAUUGGGCGUAAAGAGCUCGUAGGCGGCUCGUCGCGUCUGCUGUGAAAGCCCGGGGCUUAACCCCGGGUCUGCAGUGGGUACGGGCGGGCUAGAGUGCGGUAGGGGAGACUGGAAUUCCUGGUGUAGCGGUGAAAUGCGCAGAUAUCAGGAGGAACACCGGUGGCGAAGGCGGGUCUCUGGGCCGUAACUGACGCUGAGGAGCGAAAGCAUGGGUAGCGAACAGG
rnacentral:rRNA from 1 species